rnacentral:tRNA from 1 species
GCGAGCGUGGUGGAAUUGGCAGACACACCAGCUUGAGGGGCUGGCGGCGCAAGCCAUGGAGGUUCGAGUCCUCUCGCUCGCACCA